rnacentral:tRNA from 1 species
CGGGAUGUAGCGUAGUCCGGUUAUCGCGCCUGCUUUGGGAGCAGGAGACCCCCAGUUCGAAUCUGGGCAUCCCG